rnacentral:sRNA from 1 species
UUGCCAAAACAUCAGCGGGUACUGCAA